CACACGCAUCCCAAGAGGGCCACAACCCUCUUCUAUCUUUCUUCCUUCCCACGGGUUUCACAGUAACACCCAAAACACCUUAAGGUUUUGUUGCUGUUCUUCUUCUCCUUCACUUCCUAUCAAAUGAACCAACCAAACACCCCAUCGAUAUCUAUCCAAACAAAAGCAAACCAUAGCAAACAAACACCCCGAGAUUAUUGUAAUCUGUCUUCCUUCCCUGCAAUCAGAACCAUCCUAAAACAUCCACUUAGGUUUUAUCCACUACUGUGAAACAAUCAAAGAAAAAGAGAAGAAGCAAACCUGUUAUGAUCAGUGGAAGAGAGGAACCGAAGGUCGGCUAUUCCCUCCAUCUCUCCUUCCCGUCGAGUUGUUAACCAGCCAAACACCCCUGAAGACCAUUGAUGUUGCCGCUUCACCUAUCCCAUUCGAUCCAACUGUUUCCCCUCUCUCAUUCUCGCAACCUCCCCUCUUCCUUCUAUUUUUGAUGGCAGACUGAUCCAAUCACCGCCAAACCACCGCCAUGGCCAGUUGAUGCAACCCACGAUCAUAAACAGGCCCCUGUUGGCACAGUUCACUGGAGAAGAAGAAGCAGCGACCACCACCAUUUUUCCUUCCUGCUUUCAUUUAUUCGACUCUCAAACAGCUUCCAGUCGCCUUUUCCUUGCUUCUCCAUCAACCUCAGGUCGACUCCAAGUUUCCCGGUACAAAACCCGCUUAGAACACGAUCUUCCCGACACGUCCGACCCUCCCCGUCUGCUGCUGUCGCAGAGACAACCUCCGACCGCCACCGUUGCCGAUGAGCCUUAGCCACCCUCCGCCGCUAUCUCCGCUUGUUGUCAUUGCUAUGGAACCCCGAACGGCCAUCACUUGAUGAUACUGUGAGUAUUCGAUCGACCACCACCAUCAUGUAAUUUCUAUUAAUUGGAUGUCCAUACGACUGCUCCAGUCGGAAUCGUGAGACCUAGGUCGUGGUCUCGUCCCCAAAUUGUUUGAACUGCAAAAGAAAUUGCGACUGGUUUAGAAGAGGGAACUGUUCAAACUUCGAUUCCAUUUAUUUAAAUCUGACCCUGAAGAUGUUGAGUUCACGAGAUUGACCCCUCCUUUGGAUUAAUUCAAUUAUUAAGUCCAAAUUCCCUUUGGAUUUAUCCAGAAAUAGUCCCUCCACUAAGAAACCAUAACCAACCUAAUCCUGGAACCCCAAGUCAGCUUUAAAAUGUACAUUAUCAACCCCUGUCUUGAGAAUAAUUCUCAAUAUCAGUCCCUGAAGUAUGAUUUUGACAAAAUCAAACCCUAGAGUUUAUUUAUUCAAAGAAAGACCACCAUAUACUUAAUAAUUAAUACCAAAACUACCUUCUGGUUUAUUAGGAAACAUAAAUAUACUCGGUGGUUCGUUUUAAGAACGAGGAAUGACACGUAACAAAUCUUACGACAAGAUUCACACCUCAAGCCUCGUUCAUGCUACGAAUGUGAGUGCUUACGGCCCCUUUUUCAAUAUUUUAAUUAUNGGCCCUUUUUAAUAUUUUAGUUAUUGGGGGGGGAUACAUGUGCCUAUAUAUUUUGUUUAUACAAAUAUAUUAUCUUUCAUGCGGAAAUACAAUAAACAUAGUUUAUAAAAUAUUAUUAUUUAACAAUUUACCAUAUUGUUAAAAAUAAACUAUUGA
rnacentral:lncRNA from 1 species